rnacentral:ncRNA from 2 species
CUCUUUGUCCCGAUUCGGAAUGCUCGGGAAGCGCGGUGAGAUUCCGCCACUGCCCCGCAACUGUGAUUCGCGCACGCAGCCGCACGAUUGCUGCGUGAAUGUUCGCCUGAGGUCUCCCACUGACGCGAUCCGGCGCCGGGAAGGGAAACGACCAGCAUCAACGGCCAUCAUGCAUCGCGUCAGUCAGGAGACCGGUUCCGUCUGCGCACAUCAA